rnacentral:misc_RNA from 1 species
GUUACAUCCUUCACCUUCUUCAUCCUUGAUCUUCUGGACAAAACCUUCCCUUUUACACUGAUCGAUUAAAUCUGGAUUUGUCAUCCCCCAACCUCUCUUUCGAUAUGCUUCACGAACUUCUUCACAUGAAUUACAACAUUCAUCAUCUGCCGUUUCUGCACCAAAGCAUGAGCCGCAGUAUGUUUCAUUGUGUUCAAGUCGACCACCAUGUCUCUGUAAAGGCUUCUCAAUCUUAGGAGCACCAAUUCCAUCUUGUCUGACUUCAAUAACAGCACCAUGGGAGUCAAUCCUCUUUUUGAAUAUAUCAUGUCGUAUGUCAAAAUGUUCUUCUCCACUAAUAUCCCUGGCGUCAAGACUGAGCAGUGAACAUGGAACAGCUGGAAAAGUGAUAUCAAAAUGUAUAUGUAAUUUUCCUCCCCUUGAAGUAUCUACUACGAGCUGUGUUUCAGUAUAACUGUGAAUAUAUAAUCCAAGCUCGUUGACGAAGAGAACGAGCAUAAUAACGGAGGCGACGAGGGUAAUAAUACCACCGGAAAGCGUGCGGUUAUAGAAAUCCUCAUUGAUUUUAGGGUAAGCGUCCAAAUUCCGAAGCUUACUGAACACUCUCUCCAUUUUCACCGCCUACCUUAAUUUCAUAACCAAACUUGUACAAUACAACGCAAAUUCUCGAAAUCUUGAACGCACCAAAGAUGUCUCAGAUUCAGAUGAGUUCGUACCCCGCCGGCGCCGGUGAACAAGAUCGUUGCCUUGGGUUUAACGAUUGGGCCGGGGCUUAACACGGGCGCCCAAGUUUU